UACGGAGGGUGCAAGCGUUGCUCGGAAUUAUUGGGCGUAAAGGGUAUGUAGGUGGUCUCGUUUGUCUGGGGUGAAAGCCUUGAGCUUAACUCAAGAAGUGCCCCAGAAACGGCGAGACUGGAGUCUUGGAGAGGGUCGUGGAAUUCCCGGUGUAGCGGUGAAAUGCGUAGAGAUCGGGAGGAACACCGGUGGCGAAGGCGGGUCUCUGGGCCGAUACUGACGCUGAGGAGCGAAAGCGUGGGGAGCGAACAGG
rnacentral:rRNA from 1 species